GGCUCAUAUCUUCUAUAGGUGAGCUGAGUCCAUGAUCAGAAGACAUCAGAAGGCAUCAGACAUGCACAUAUUUGGGAAGAGCAAGUGCAAAGACCCUGAGGAGAAAGGGCAUUGGGCGUGUGCAAGCAAGCCAGUGUGACGGGUGUGAGUGACCAAGGAGGUGUGUGAGAGGGAUGAGAUCAAAUCAGAGUUUCAGAGGAUAAAGAAUAAGCCUGAACCUCCUGGCAUCUGUCUCCAGUCUGCCUGAUAAAACAGCCAACAUGGAGGGAAGCUGAACUGAGAGGGAAAGAAUGAGGCUAAGUUCUGAUGGCCUCACUGGAGUUUCUGGAUCUGGCUAUGUCUGAAGGCUUGGUUUCAUGGGCUUAUUUUCAUGGGCUUUGCAAUGAGCAUGCGCCAUAGGAUAAAGGGAGGAGGGACUGAAAGCCUCUGCAUCACCUCAAGGAAUGUAUGUUUAUUCCAAUCAGACUACUUUUUGCCUUUCGGGGGCAUAGGUGACCUCCGGGUAAGGCUGUGACUCUGUAGUACUCAGCCAAUGAGGAACCAGGAGAGGACUCGCCUGCUAGGAGAUCAAUUACCUGCUGUAACUGCCCCAAGUGUGCCUGUCCAUCAGACACCUGCUCUUGCAAAUGCCUUGAUUAAAGCCUCUCUUCACUGUG